CACCAAACCCUAAUCCAAAAUCCCUCUCUUCUCUCCCUCUCGACGGAAAUCGCCGCUUCUGUCCGUCGCCGGAGCACCAUAUCCGCCACCUCUGCUCCAUCUCUCUCUCUCUCUUUCUUCCUCGGCCACGCUCACGCCACCGCCACUCUCUCCAGAUCUGCCGCCGCUGCUGUGCAUGUACAGGCGGCGGUUUCGGCCUCCUCCGUGCCUCGGGCCGCCGGAGCAGUUUCCCGGCGCCACUCCAGCCCCGGCCUCUGCCUCCUCGCCAAACUCCGAGAAGGUUGUGAAAUUAGUGACGAAACGGGGUGUGGGGCUGCCACCGCCUCGCCCUGCUCACCGCCUGCGAAGACGGAUUCAGCUCGCCCUCCGUCGUCUCUCUGUCCGUUCUCGCUAGUGCCGUUGCUGCCCCUGUAGCCUCGCCUUCGCGGUGGUCGUCGGGGCAGCCCUUCGGCUUUACAGCUAAGUUCUCUUGCCCCUCUCAUUACUUAGAGCAUUCUUAUGAAAUUUGGGUAGUAGUCAUAUGGUGUUGAAGGUCUUGACUAUGUGUGCUUAAGCUUGAUCUUCCUUGGGUAGUAGUCAUGAUAAACUGUUACUGAUCUUGGCUAAAGCAGCUUAUGAUAUUUCUUGUUACAGAUUGUAUGAUGUGGAAAUCCUAAUGUUCUAAGUUCUUGAGCUUUAAACAUGAUUUUCUAUACUUGCUAGAGGUCUCUAUUGCCAUGAUUCUAUAAUUAUACUACAUCUUUUAUCAGCUAACAGCCCAGGUUUAAGAUACGUGCUUUAACAUGCGUUGGGUUGAUUUCUACAUGGUUGAUAUGCAAAUUUGAUUGGGAGAAGGGUUAGAGGUGGAAUACCUCUUGAAGCUGCGGCUGCCUUGAGGAAAUCAGCUCUUAAAACCUCAGUUUUCUUCCUCUCGAACUUGCUACUGCUUGUUCUUCGUUCUCACUAGAGUUGCUAAAAUUUGAGAUGUGUAGGAGGAUGUUUAAAGGUGGUGUGGAGGGGAUUUUAUAGGCUGGGCUUUGGCGUACUAUGGGGGAAUUAAAUGGGGCUGAUCUCUCUUGUCUUCAUAUCACAACAUAUCUCUCUUUUUCUGAUCAUGCAGCCCCUUUGUCUUAAUGUAGUUUGUUGGCUAGUUUGGGUACUUGGUACUUGGUGAAUAAAUCCCAUUGUUUGAUUGUGGCUAGGUAUAACAGGUGCUGCAUUAGUGAAGGGCUUUGCAGGCUGGACUUGCCCCCUUUUUGGGUAAGUCCUUGGUCUUCAUAGGAAAAGAAAGGUGAGAGAGGAAUCUUAGCUCCCACCUAGCUGCACUUCGAGCGGGCCUGGAUUUGAUGUCUGGGCCGACGGGCUGCCCGAAACGGGCCCUAAAUUGGGCCUGGAGAAAAGGCCCGAAAUGCACUCCACAAUUUAUAUUUUCCUUUCCUUGUUUUCUUUCUUUAAGGACUUUGAUCCAUGUAACCUAUUCCAUUAGUUGUUCAUUUUGUUG